rnacentral:rRNA from 1 species
UAGGGAAUCUUCCGCAAUGGACGCAAGUCUGACGGAGCAACGCCGCGUGAGUGAAGAAGGAUUUCGGUUCGUAAAACUCUGUUGUUAGAGAAGAACAGCGCAUAGAGUAACUGUUAUGCGUGUGACGGUAUCUAACCAGAAAGCCACGGCUAACUACGUGCCAGCAGCCGCGGUAAUACGUAGGUGGCAAGCGUUGUCCGGAUUUAUUGGGCGUAAAGCGAGCGCAGGCGGUCAAUUAAGUCUGAUGUGAAAGCCCCCGGCUCAACCGGGGAGGGUCAUUGGAAACUGGUUGACUUGAGUGCAGAAGAGGGGGGUGGAAUUCCAUGUGUAGCGGUGAAAUGCGUAGAUAUAUGGAGGAACACCAGUGGCGAAGGCGACUCUCUGGUCUGUAACUGACGCUGAGGCUCGAAAGCGUGGGUAGCAAACAGG